UGUAGUAAUACAAGGCAGACGGCUCAGUAACGCGUAGUCAACCUACCCUAUGGACGGGGAUAACCUCGGGAAACUGAGAAUAAAACCCGAUAGAACAUUAUGCCUGGAAUGGUUUAUGUUUCAAAUAAUUUAUUGCCGUAGGAUGGGACUGCGGCCCAUCAGUUUGUUGGUGAGGUAAUGGCCCACCAAGACUAUUACAGGUACGGGCUCUGAGAGGAGUAGCCCGGAGAUGGGUACUGAGACACGGACCCAGGCCCUAUGGGGCGCAGCAGGCGAGAAAACUUUGCAAUGUGCGAAAGCACGACAAGGUUAAUCCGAGUGGUUUCUGCUAAAGGAACCUUUUGUCAGUCCUAGAAACACUGGUGAAUAAGGGGUGGGCAAGUUCUGGUGUCAGCCGCCGCGGUAAAACCAGCACCUCAAGUGGUCAGGAUGAUUAUUGGGCCUAAAGCAUCCGUAGCCUGCUUUGUAAGUUUUCGGUUAAAUCCAUACGCUCAACGUAUGGGCUGCCGGGAAUACUGCAAAGCUAGGGAGUGGGAGAGGUAGACGGUACUCGGUAGGAAGGGGUAAAAUCCUUUGAUCUAUUGAUGACCACCUGUGGCGAAAGGCGGUCUACCAGAACACGUCCGACGGUGAGGGAUGAAAGCUGGGGGAGCAAACCGGAUUAGAUACCCGGGUAGUCCCAGCUGUAAACUAUGCAACUCAGUGAUGCAUUGGCUUGAUGCCAAUGCAGUGCUGCAGGGAAGCCGUUAAGUCUGCCGCCUGGGAAGUACGUACGCAAGUAUGAAACUUAAAGGAAUUGGCGGGGGAGCACCACAAGGGGGGAAGCCUGCGGGUCAAUUGGA
rnacentral:rRNA from 1 species